rnacentral:piRNA from 1 species
UAAAAAGUAUUUUAUUUGGUUACUUAGAGG